AUUGAACGCUGGCGGCAGGCCUAACACAUGCAAGUCGAGCGGAUGAAGGGAGCUUGCUCCUGGAUUCAGCGGCGGACGGGUGAGUAAUGCCUAUGAAUCUGCCUGGUAGUGGGGGAUAACGUCCGGAAACGGGCGCUAAUACCGCAUACGUCCUGAGGGAGAAAGUGGGGGAUCUUCGGACCUCACGCUCUCAGAUGAGCCUAGGUCGGAUUAGCUAGUUGGUGGGGUAAAGGCCUACCAAGGCGACGAUCCGUAACUGGUCUGAGAGGAUGAUCAGUCACACUGGAACUGAGACACGGUCCAGACGCCUACGGGAGGCAGCAGUGGGGAAUAUUGGACAAUGGGCGAAAGCCUGAUCCAGCCAGGCCGCGUGUGUGAAGAAGGUCUUCGGAUUGUAAAGCACUUUAAGUUGGGAGGAAGGGCAGUAAGUUAAUACCUUGCUGUUUUGACGUUACCAACAGAAUAAGCACCGGCUAACUUCGUG
rnacentral:rRNA from 1 species